rnacentral:misc_RNA from 1 species
UCCGAGUUGACCCCGGCAGUCUCCUAUGAGUCCCCGACAUUACUCGCUGGCAACAUAGAACGAGGGUUGCGCUCGUUGCGGGACUUAACCCAACAUCUCACGACACGAGCUGACGACAACCAUGCACCACCUGUAUAGCGCCCUUGCGGACCUGACAUCUCUGCCAGUUUUCACCAUAUGUCAAGCCUUGGUAAGGUGGGGAUGACGUGUCCUUGAUAGG